rnacentral:tRNA from 2 species
GUGAGCGUAGCUCAGUUGGUAGAGCGCCAGAUUGUGGCUCUGGUGGUCACGGGUUCGAGCCCCGUCGCUCACC